AGUCUCAUCGGACCCCCGGGUGGGGGUGGGGGGUGCUGGGUCCCGGUGCUGGAUCCUCUCUGGAUCCCGGAUCUGGAUAUUCCCAUUGGAGCCCGGUUCUGGUUCUGGAUCCCGGUGCUGGGUCCCGGUUCUGGUUCUGGAUAUUCCCACUGGGUCCCAGUUCUGGAGAUUCCCAUUGGAGCCCAGUUCUGGAUUUCAUCACUGCAUCCUGGUUCUGGAUCUUCUCAUUUGACCUCGGUUCUGGAUCACGGUUCUGGAUGUCCUCACAGAGUCCAGUCCUGGUUCUGGAUUUCCUCACUGGACCCCAGCUCUGGAUUUCCUCACAGAGUCCAGUCCUGGUUCUGGAUUUCCUCACGGAAUCCCAGUUCUGGAUUUCCUCACGGAGUCCAGUCCUGGUUCUGGAUUUCCUCACGGAGUCCAGUUCUGGUUCUGGAUUUCCUCACUGGACCCCGGUUCUGGAUUUCCUCACGGAGUCCAGUUCUGGUUCUGGAUCCCCUCACUGGAUCCCGGUUCUGGAUCCCAGUCCUUGAUCCAGGCCCGACCCCGGAUCCCGGUGCCGGAGGAGGUCGGGGAUUCCCCAGCCCGGGAUCAGUCCUGGAUCAGUUCUGGAUCCCCUGGGACGGUUCUGGAUCCCGUGGAUCGCUUGGCGUCAUCCCAAACCUCUCCAGGCAGAUCCCAAACCUCUCCAGGCAGAUCCCAAACCUCUCUGCUGAAUCCCAAACAACUUCCAGACAGAUCCUAAAUCUUUCCAGACAGAUACUAAAUCCUUCCAGGCUGAUCCCAAACCCCUGGGGCAGAUCCCAAACCCCUCAGGGCAGAGAUGGAUCCCAAACCUCUCCAGGUGGAUCCCAAACCCCCAGGGCUGAUCCCAAACCUUUCAGGUGGAUCCCAAACCCCUGAGAUGGAUCCUAAGUCUUUCCAGGCCAAUCCCAAACCCCUGGGUCGGACCCCAAACCCCUCCAGAUGGACCCCAAACCCCUGAGAUGGAUCCAAAACCUCUCCAGGGUGAUCCCAAACCCCUCAGACUGAUCUGAAACCUCUCCAGGGUGAUCCCAAACCUCUCCAGGGCUGAUCCCAAACUUCUCCAGGUAGACCCCAAACCCCUGAGAUGGAUCCCAAACCCCUGCAGGUGGACUCCAAACCCGAGAUGGAUCCGAAACCUUUCCAGAUGGACCCCAAACCCCUCCAGGUGGAUCCCAAACCUCUCCAGGGCUGAUCCCAAACUUCUCCAGGUGGACCCCAAACCCCUGAG
rnacentral:lncRNA from 1 species